AGAAAGUUAGUCUAACUAAGACAGUUGGUUUCGACCCAACAAAUUAUAGCUAACUCUAUAACUUUCUU
rnacentral:tRNA from 1 species